UGCAGUCGAGCGGACAGAUGGGAGCUUGCUCCCUGAUGUUAGCGGCGGACGGGUGAGUAACACGUGGGUAACCUGCCUGUAAGACUGGGAUAACUCCGGGAAACCGGGGCUAAUACCGGAUGCUUGAUUGAACCGCAUGGUUCAAUUAUAAAAGGUGGCUUUUAGCUACCACUUACAGAUGGACCCGCGGCGCAUUAGCUAGUUGGUGAGGUAACGGCUCACCAAGGCAACAAUGCGUAGCCAACCUGAGAGGGUGAUCGGCCACACUGGGACUGAGACACGGCCCAAACUCCUACGGGAGGCAGCAGUAGGGAAUCUUCCGCAAUGGACGAAAGUCUGACGGAGCAACGCCGCGGGAGUGAUGAAGGUUUUCGGAUCGUAAAACUCUGUUGUUAGGGAAGAACAAGUACCGUUCGAAUAGGGCGGUACCUUGACGGUACCUAACCAGAAAGCCACGGCUAACUACGUGCCAGCAGCCGCGGUAAUACGUAGGUGGCAAGCGUUGUCCGGAAUUAUGGGGCGUAAAGCGCGCGCAGGCGGUUUCUUAAGUCUGAUGUGAAAGCCCCCG
rnacentral:rRNA from 2 species